UGUUGAAACACCAGUUCACACAUGAUCACCAAAGUUAAGCAAUGUUGAGCCUAGUUUGUACUUAGAUAGGUGACGGCAUGGAAUUAUCAAGUGCUGAAA